UACAGAGGGUGCGAGCGUUAAUCGGAAUUACUGGGCGUAAAGCGAGCGUAGUCGGUUAUUUAAGUCGGGUGUGAAAUCCCCGGGCUCAACCUGGGAAUUGCAUUCGAUACUGGAUAGCUAGAGUUCGGCAGAGGGAAGCGGAAUUUCCGGUGUAGCGGUGAAAUGCGUAGAUAUCGGGAGGAACACCAGAGGCGAAGGCGGCCGACUGGGCUGUACCUGACGCUGAGGCGCGAAAGCGUGGGGAGCGAACCGG
rnacentral:rRNA from 1 species